rnacentral:rRNA from 1 species
GUGGAUGCCUUGGCGAUCACAGGCGAUGAAGGACG